rnacentral:rRNA from 1 species
CCUACGGGAGGCAGCAGUAGGGAAUAUUGGACAAUGGGUGCGAGCCUGAUCCAGCCAUGCCGCGUGCAGGAAGACGGCCUUCUGGGUUGUAAACUGCUUUUGCCAGGGGAUAAAAAGUCCCUGCGGGGAAAAUUGAAGGUACCUGGUGAAUAAGCCACGGCUAACUACGUGCCAGCAGCCGCGGUAAUACGUAGGUGGCAAGCGUUGUCCGGAUUUAUUGGGUUUAAAGGGUGCGUAAGUUGUUUUGUAAGUCAGUGGUGAAAUCCGGCAGCUCAACUGUCGAUGUGCCAUUGAUACUGCAGAACUUGAGUACAGACGAGGUAGGCGGAAUUGACGGUGUAGCGGUGAAAUGCUUAGAUAUCGUCAAGAACACCGAUAGCGAAGGCAGCUUACUAGACUGUAACUGACACUGAUGCACGAAAGUGUGGGGAUCAAACAGGAUUAGAUACCCUGGUAGUCCACGCCCUAAACGAUGUCAACUAGUUGUUCGGUGAGGAGACUCAUUGAGUAACGCAGCUAACGCGUGAAGUUGACCGCCUGGGGAGUACGGCCGCAAGGUUAAAACUCAAAUGAAUUGACGG